rnacentral:rRNA from 1 species
UUAGGAAAUUUUUGCAAUGGGGGAAACCCUGACAGAGUAACGCCGCGUGCAGGAUGACGGCUUUCGGGUUGUAAACUGCUUUUCUGCGGGACGAGUAGAUGACGGUACCGCAGGAAGAAGCCUCGGCUAACUACGUGCCAGCAGCCGCGGUAAUACGUAGGAGGCGAGCGUUGUCCGGAAUUACUGGGCGUAAAGAGCGCGUAGGCGGCGCGGUACGACGUGUGUGAAAGCCCCCGGCUCAACUGGGGAGGGUCAUGCGUAACGGCCGUGCUCUGAGUGCAGGAGAGGGAAGUGGAACUCCGGGAGUAGCGGUGAAAUGCGUAGAGACCCGGAGGAACACCAGUGGCGAAGGCGGCUUCCUGGUCUGCGACUGACGCUGUGGCGCGAAAGCUAGGGGAGCAAACGGGAUUAGAUACCCCCGUAGUCC